rnacentral:lncRNA from 1 species
CCUUCUCUUCCCCGUCUUUAUCCACAGGGAGAAACUCAAAGUAUGCCAUGUUUGGGAGAAAGGUGUAAGAGAUAUCGUAGGGGUUGCUUAGAGGAUUUAAAUUGAUCCCGAAAGUAGACUCCAAAGAACCAUAACAGCUUGGUGAAACUAAAGGGAUCCCACCACCAUAAAAAUCAAGCAAUGAAAUGUAUUGGCUCAUGGUACCAGUAAUAACGGAAUUAAUAUAUUUUGCUUUAGGCCAAAGUUUCUUAAUAAUCCCUUCCCAUGAUUCAUUACCAUAUAUGUGUUCAAUCGUAUCAGCCAAUUCUGGAUUAGGCCUAGUCAGGAUCGAUGACACUGCGUUCCUACAACCAGGGUCAGUAAUCCAAUCACUAAGGCAACCAGUUCUUAUGUUCGAACACAGUUCGUUCCAGUGAUCUUGUAAGAACUUGAUGCUCCUUGCCAAAACGGAUCCAAAGAUCGAACUGAUUGAAACAACAUGAUCACGUUGCAGCAAACCAGUAAGCAAUUGGCAGUACAUACUUUGCUUGUGAUCCAAGCAGAGAAUCGUCUCAAUAGGACUUGUGCAGAUCUUAGGCACACUUUUCUUGAAGUUAUCGCUCAUGAAAUAGCACGAUGAGAGCGUUCUCACUGUUAAACCUGAUGGAGUUUCACUCCCUUUUUUGACAAAAAAAAGGCUCAUUGUGAUGGCGGCCGUAAGUAGUGUACACCGCACAGAAAGAUACAAAUCCUUUAAAUUAUUGCAUUACAUAAAAAAAUUAUAAGAACUUUUAUAAAUAAAAAAUAAGAAUAUACAUUAAAAGUUAAAAAAUGCAUUUGGUCUCGUAUGAAUUUGGUUAAAUUCUGAUAUUAGUCCCUGUACAUUAUAAAAGCUAUUGAUUUAGUCCAUAUAAUUUAAUUUGGUCAUCUUUAGUCCUUGUACUUUUUAAAUUUGAAAAUUUCAAUUCUCACCAAAUGAUGAUUGUUAAAUUCACUAAGUUAAGUUUUUAUUAUUUCCAAAAUCUGAUGUGCCAAAUAAAUUAUCAUAUGUGUAAUAUCAUGUCAGCUUGUUAUUUCCACAUGUUACUUACAAAAAUAACAGUUAAUGGAUUAACGACUAUCAUUUACGUCAAGAUUGAAAUUUCAAGAUUAACGAUUAUCAGUUAAUGGACUUCUAUUUUCAUUCGUUGGUCUUUGUGAACAUCUCUGCCUUCAAGAUAGUCUUUGGCAGACAUUCCACAUAAGAUAGUCAUUGGUUGACUUUUCGCGUAAGAUGGUCUUUGGUGGACUUCCUUUUUGCUGGCGACCUUGUUGCCAAUACACAUUUAGGAAUAAGUUCUGUAGAACCGUCUCACUUCCUUAUGACCCUUGUUGACUUGUCUCUUACCUCUGGUGGACUCUUAUUAACGAAUACUUCUUUGCAAUUACUCUGAAGAAAAUAUCUUUGUUUUUUUCCACACAUAUCUACGCACAAGGCAUUUUUACAUAUUCCUCAUGCCUUCCUAUCUUGACUGCACGUUUGUCUGCGUUCCUAUAUGUUAUAACUAUUGUAACUAACUUCUUCACGAGAGUCAUAUAAGGGUUUCCACAUAUAUACCCCGACUGACUUUCCUGUUUAUUGCCCCGGUGGACUUCAUUUUGUCAAAAGGUGUACCUAUCUUUCAUUGAAUCAUGCCAUGACUCUCCAUGGACUUUCGACUCUGAGGAUUCAAUAAACCUCUUUCGAAGUGACGCUCUGUACAACCUGUAGAUAAUCAUUUCAUGGUGUCGCUUCGUAAAGCUUAUAGAUAAUCAUUUUCAUGGUGUCGCUCUAUAGAGCCUGUAGAUAACCAUACCACGAUGCUGCUAAACUUCCUCAAAUCCCCUAUCAAUCUGUCUAUUCCUCCAUUAUGCCAAUUUUUCUAUCUUCAACUAACCCACCAAAGUAACUUCCUUCAUACUCUGCAUUUUAUAUCCAUACAUUUCACGCAUAACAUUAUGCCUACUAUCAUAACAUGUAGUACGCCACAUGUUAAUACAUCAAUACACAACCAUAUUUUGCACCCAGAGAACAUACUUGCAAGCAUUCAUAUAUUUAUAUAGCUUUAUGCAUACAUAACUUUCUCAUUCACCAUAAUAAUAUACAACCAUGGAAUUCAAACUGAACCUAGAGCAAAACAUUCAAGCAGCACCAUAACCAACAAACACCCAAAAGUGGAGUACGAAACUCAUCUGUUAUCCUUCGUCCUCAAUAGCUUAGCUUUUUUAUAUGACAGAGCGUCCUUCAUCCUAGCAGCUAAGCAUGACAACCAAUUAUAUUGGUUAAACAGAAGGAAUUUGAACUUAAAACCUAGAAUCCAAUAUCUUGUAGAAACUUUUUUCUCAAAUAUUUCAAAAAUCAUUACUUCUCUUUUUCUCAAUUUUACUAAUACAAAGAGAUGAAGAAGCUUACAGCUCACCGGAUUCUCUAUUUUCUAUACUCAAACCUCAUAAUCAUUGUCUCAUGUAGAGCUUUCCUCAACUUUCUCUUCUUCGAAGCAAAUAAAGAAGAUGAUGCAGACGAGAAGAAAAUGAAACAGAAAUGAGAAGAAUUUUACCUCCCGAAAAAUCCUUCUCACACAUAUAUAUAACCAUUCUUGCAUAGUCACCAAAGUCUCAAAUAACCUAUAAUCAGUGAUCAUUCUGCUUCCCACUAAAGAACAAGCUAGUUCCAACUUAAUUGAACCAGAAUUGAGACCUAACUUAUUACCAUUCAGUCACUAAAAUUCCCAGAUUUUUUCAUGGAGCCCACCAACUAAAUAUCCUUUUCAAUUAAUCCCAAAUCUUUCUUAAUUUUGAACCUUAAUAGAAAUUGAGUAUAACAUGCCUCGAACGAGUCGAUUCUAACUCCUUAACAGAUAAGGAAAUUGUUGCUUUACCGAUCACCGUUGAACCCUGUAAAAUGUAAAGACUAUCGGUCUCUCGACCUCUCUUUAGAAUGAGAGCUAUACGAGAUACUUUAAUGCUGAUUAACUUGAUGGUGAUCCUACAGCCCUGUAACACCCCUUACCCGUAUCCAACGCCGGAACAGGGUAUGAGGCAUUACCAGAACACUUACACAUGUAAACCUAUUAAACCGAGUUACAAAAUUUCAUUCAAAUUUAAAACUUUCAAAAUUAUUAACAUGCUUUUAUAACUCUUCACAAUAUAUAUAUAAUGCAACAUUUUCUGCCAACCACACUAUCAAAUAAUGGAUUUACUCAAUCGAGCUCAAUAUCAGAUGUCAACUUAUAAUCCAACAUUUAACUCCAAUUGCACUUUCAAAUACUUGUUAAAUUAAGGAUCGUAUUACGGAUUUGAGUACAUUGUUUGCCCGGUGUCACAAUUUGCUUGAAUUUUUCACAAUGCUAUAACUUAUAAAUUUAACGUGGCAUGGUCUAGCCACUACUUGGCCAAAGCCUAAGCAUGUAUACCAAAUAUGUACGCCAAAUAUAUAUAUAACAUAAGCAUUAUAAGUAUGGAUGAGCACAACAUUUAUUCAUGUAUCGGGCUUACCAACAUGUUUUAAUUCAUAAACCAUUCAUGGUCUUACUUCAUGCCAAAUCAUGUACCGAAUAAUUUAGCUUUCUUAACACAUUUAUUUGCUUUUACUAUUGCUCACAUAAGAUUUAUAGAGCAUAGAGCCUUGUAUAUAACACCGGCAUAAAGCCUGCUAGGCACCAAGCCCGAUACAUUUCACCGGCACAAAGCCUGCUAGACAUAAAGUCUGAUAUAAUUCACCGGCAUAAAGCCUGCUAGGCAUAAAGCCUGAUAUAAUUCACCGGCAUAAAGCCUGCUAGGCAUAAAGCCUGAACUUACAAAAUCAGUCUUUCACAUAAUUCACAUCUAAUUUAAAUCAUUCUCGAAAUAUAAUCAAAUCACAAUAUUACAUUCGGCACUAGCUUAUAUAACUUCAAAUAAUUCAUUUCAUACAUUUUAUUGUCCUCCUCCUCCUCUCCAAUCCACAUCCGUUACGUAUAAAACAUGCUUAAAUAGCAUUAUACAUUAUUUCACUAUUCACUUAUAUUAAAAUUUAAAGUUGUCUAUUUGAGUCAGAGUCACUAAAUUAUUUUUAUCCGGAGCUACAGAGCUCCAAAUUAAGAUCUAUAAAUUUUCUUCACAUGAUUUCACAGCAAUAUAAAUUUAAUCACACAUAAAUUUUAAGGUUUGCUUAAUUUCCAGCAAGCUAUCUUUCUGCAUCACAGACGCUAAUUUAUUUUUAUCUGGAGCUACAGGGCUCCAAAUUAAGUUCCGUAAAUUUUUCCUGAAACUAGACUAAUAUACCUUUCCACCAUAAAAAUUUCAGAAUUUUUGACUUAGCCAAUUAGUACAGUUUAUUCUUUAAAAUUUCCCCUAUUUCUCUGCUCAACAACUCUGACCUCUCUUCACUAAAAAUUAAAUAUCUCAUUGUACAGAAUUCAAAUGAUGUUUCCACUAAUAUAAAUUAUAACUCAAAACUAUUUUUUUACAAUUUUUAAUUAUUUUCCAAAGUAAGAACAGGGGAUUCCGAAAUCAAUCCGACCUUGCCUCACUAAAAUUCAAAUAUCUCAAAAUGUAUAACUCUUUUGCUUGCUCUGUUUCUUUCAUAUGAAAAUAUACUUCUUAAGCUUUCAUUUCAUAUCUUAUUCACUCUCUAAUUAAAUUUUCAUUAUUUUUGGUGAUUUUUCAAAGUUACACUAUUGUUACUAUCUAAAACUGUUUUCUUGUACAUUUUACUUUUUCAUAAUUUCAUUACUUCUUUUCAUCUUACUCAAGGGUCAAUUAAAUAUCGAACCCAAUAUUUGUCACGUAAACUUAUUCAAUUCACACAUAUUUUCACUUAUCCAAUUUCCCCGAUGAACACUUCGGAAUAUUAACCGUUACACGGUGGAAUCAGCACUUUCCUCAAUACACAUAUACAUUAAAGGCCGAAUACAUAUAUAUUCAAAUAUGCAAUCACAUAAUUCAUAUUUCACAUAACUUCAUAUCAUCAAUUCAAGUAUACAACUUACCUUAUUUUCAAAUAGAUAAUUCAAUUAUCACAUACCUGGUCACUUAGCCUGAUUUAAACAUUUGUACACAACUUAUUUUUACCCGUUGAACCAUUCGGAAUUAAAAAGGAUACUCGGAUAGUCGGAAGGCUCGUACAAUGCCAACGUCCCAGACGUGGUCUUACAUGUAAUCACAUAUGAUGCCACUGUCCCAGACAGGGUCUUACACAAAUCAAAUACGAUGCCAAUGUCCCGGACAUGGUCUUACACGUAUACACAAGUCGAUGCCAACGUCCCAGACGUGGUCUUACACGAAAAUACAUAUCAAAAUCCUAUGUCAUGACAUAUGUAUCCUAACUAUUCCUAAGGCUCAUACGGGUCUUUCGAAUGUCGUAACUCAGUCGAAACGAACUCAUAAACAUAGAUGCCAGGCUUGUACACAUUCAGCUAAUAUAUAUUUAUUUACAUGUUCAUUUUAGCAGAUAUAAUUCACAUUUAAUAAAAAAAUUAUAACAUCUAUUUGCUUAUAAACUUACCAUCAUGCUUUCAAGUUCAAUUCCUCAUCUUUCUUGGUUUAUAAUAACAUUUUUAACUUAUUUAACACUCACAUUAUUCAAAACAGUCCUUGACUCAACCUUUGGAAAAAUUACAAUUUUGCCCCUAAACUUUUGCAUAUUUCCAAUUCCGUCCCUAGGCUCGAAAAUUAAAUUUCACACCUUAUUCUUAUAUUUUACAGCAUACUAAACACUUUUCCCUUCUAUGGCAACAUCAAAUUCUCACUCUAACAUACACUUAUGAACAAUAAAUAUUUUUGUAAUUUAGCCCUAAUUACUCAAAUUCAUCAAAAUUUCCAAUACAAAACAUACUAACCCAAAACAUAUCUUCAAUAAUUCAUCAUCAAACAUCACAAAACACAAUUAUUCAUCAAAAUCAGAAAUUGAAGCAUGGGUCGAGUAGUAUUCGAAACAACGAUCUCAAAAACAUAAAAAUCAUCAAAAACCAAAACCAAAACAUACCUUAAUUUGCUUGAGGAAGGGUCGAAUACCCAGCUGGUUUUCUUCUUUUCUUCCCCUUUUCAUUCGGCAGAAAGAUAAUCCCUCCCUCCACUUUCUUAUGCCUUUCCUUUUUAUUAUAAUAACAUUAUAAUAUAUAAAUUAUUAUUAUAACUUUUAUAAAUAGUAUAAAAACUAUAUAUUUUAAACAUAGUGCCGUCCACUAUCUUUUCAAUGGUCAAAUUGCAACAUAAAACCCCCAUAUUUAAAGAACAACCACUAUUCGACCCCUUUUUGAAAUAACCACAAAAUUUUCAUUUUACGCAAUUUAAUCCUUUUAUUUAAUUGGACACUCAAACGACAAAAUUAAAGCACGAAAUUUUCACACAAGUAAAUUUAUACAUAAUAAACACAGAAAAAAAAUUUAAAAUAUUUUUCUAACUUGGAUUCGUUGUCCCGAAACCACUAUUCUGACUAGGGUCAAAAUCGGGUUGUUACAAACCCUUCAAGUCUAAAUUUCCCAAGGAGAUGUGAUUCUUUGUCGAGUCAAGCACAUGCCUAAUAUGUGACAUUAUCUUAAUGAUUCUUUUGUGCACCCUGAUCUGAACGGUGCCAAUACCGAUUAUCUUACAGGGUGAAUUGUUCUCCAUAAGCAUAAAUCCACCUUCAACUAGACUAUAUGUGGAGAACAAGUUCUUGUUUGGACACAUAUGGAAAGAGCACCCUGAAUCCGAAAUACACUUGAACAUAAGUUUAGACCUUUUAGUUGUAGACACCAACAACCAAUCAUCACCAUUGUCUUAGGCCACACUAGCAUCAGCUACCUCAGCCUUCUAUUCCUUGUCACUCUUAACAACCCUCCUGUUUUUGUUUUUCAACUUAUAACAUUCUACUUUUAUGUGACCCAACUUAUUGCAGUAGUUACAUGUCUUGUCACAAUUCCUCGACUUCGAUCUUAACCUAGAUUUGUUCUAACCUGGAUCUUUAGGUUGUUGCCUAUCUCUAGCAACCAAAAGUGAAGCUUGACAACCAAACUUGCUACCUAAACCUAACUCAUUAUCAAGCUUUUCCUUACUCGACAAAUUACCUUUCACAUAUUCAAAUGAGAAUUUAUCUCUGCCAUAAAUCAAUGUCUUCCUAAAAGUUUUAUACGAAGGGGGCAAAAGCACAAUAAUAGCAUAACAUGCUCUUCAUAGUUUAUAUCAACCUCGACAUUCUUCAGAUCAUUCAAGAGAGUAACGAAUUGACUGAUGUGACCCUUAAGGUUCUUACCUUUGUCCAUAUGGCAUUUGACGUCAGGCCUAUUUUGCGCUUUCUCCGGUUGCUCGUCGAUUGUCUUUAUAUGUGCCUGUAAAGAGUUUGAUAAAUGCGAGGCGCACCCCACAAUAUGUAAAUUGUAAUAAAAACAAAAAAUUGUAAAAAAAAAAUUAUCAUAAUUUUGUAUAAAUUGAAACUAAAAAAAUUUUAAAAGAGCUAAACUUGUUAAAAAACAAAUUCCAUAACAAGUAUACUUAAGUAUAAUGUACUUUUAAAUUAUUUUACAUCCCGUAAAUGAAUCUUAUAUUUCAACCAAAUGAAUCAAAUAAAAUAAUAUCUUAUUCCACCAAUAAUUUUUCAAUUUUGUAAUGGUUGAACCUAAUCUAAGCGAACCAAACGCUUCGAGUACUUUUACCUUUCUUUUUAAAGAACAAUAUUAUUAUUUAAAAUUUUGAUAUUUUGUAUUUUAUAUGAUAAUUAAAAUAUUCUUUUAUAUUCUAUAUUUUCUAUGACCGUUCGAGAGAUGAAAUUGAUGCAAUCAUGGAUUAACAUUUCAAUCGUUUAAUCGAUGAACCAAUAGAUUGAUAUCAAGAACUAAACUUGAAGAAAUAACUAAAAGCAAAUACAAGCUUCUCAUUGAUUCUUUUACCAAAUUUGCUAAGAAAUUGAACCAGAUUUAGGAUACCAAGGAGACAACACUAGCAUCAAAAGCUAUAUUUAUUUCCAUCAAAGGCUCACCUGCUAAAAAGAUAUAAAAAAACUAAUAAGAUUCCAAGUUCAUGCAAGAUUUCCAUUGCUGAAGAACUUCCCAACAACCCUGGAAUCCAGUAUUUCAAUGGCUUCCUUAAUUUUAAGGCAGCAAGAUGUCUUGUAUUGGAGAGGUGCAGCACCCCUCGAUACAAAGAAAUUCAUCAGUUAUUUGAAGGCUUUCGUUUAAGUUGUUGAUCUAUUCAAAAAUUUUUAUUUAAGUUAUUAAACUAUUUUUUUAAAGACCGAUUAGCAAGGUUAAAGUGGCAAUUCAAUGAACAGUAUGAUAGAUCAAUACUCAUCGAUGAGUAAAGAAUGUAUAUUAGAUCAAGUCAAUCUGAUAGUUGAUGUCGAAGAACGGAGAAGAAAACUGUUUGGAUUUUGAUUCGUAGAUACAUGACAUUUAAAGUUAUUUAAAAAAAAAACCCUAAGUUAUAGAAAAGCAAAGGUAGAAGAGUUUUUUUAUUGGUUUAAGUGGACAAACAAUGAAGGCCAUAUAACAAUAGUUAUAGCAACCCAAUUAUGACUUAAAAGAAAAUUUUUAAAUAAUUCAUUAAUGAUAUUUUGUAGCUUUUUAAUAUUAAUUGACCAAAAUGCCAAACCCACGUCUUCCAAGUCAUUUUUGCUCCACUAAUAUAAACAACGAUACAAAGAAUGUUAAAAAAAAUAAGAAAAUUUGUUAGAAAAGCGGUGAUAGAUUUGUUUUUUAAAUUUUAUGGUGAAGAAGAGUUGGUGAAACCACUAACUCAUCUCCGUUGUCUAGGCUUGUGAGAUCAAUUGGAGUUCAUGAAGUGAAAUGCCUAAGUUUGUUAGCAUUUUCCACAUGAGCUUGUCAUCAUAGAUUGAGAGUUUAGGCCCACGAACAUAAUCUAUCAUCUUGAAACUUUAACUCUUCUUCUCAAAUUGUUUUCGUGAUAAAGUCUGGAACAAAUAAGUUGAGUUUUGAUUUUAUCUAUUUGGAUUUGGAUCUCGUAAUUGGGCCUUGAGAGAAACUAAGCUCAUCUCUAUUAUGGCCUUUGAAUUGGGCUGAAUUGCUCGUAUCAAUAUAAAUUUCAGUAAUUCAGUUAACCGACAAAAAUAUUUUAAUUUGGUUAAUGUGUUCGAAAAAAAUUCAAUUCAAUUAACGGUUAAAAUUUUUACAUUUUAAGUAAUUCUAUCCGGUUAAUCAUUUUACGAUCCAUAUUCACCUUUAUUCUAUGGCACAUGCAUAUGCAAAUUAUAGUUUGCUCAUUACUUGUUCAUAGCUUCCUUGCUCAUUACAUUCAAAUGCAAAGAUUGAUCCACGAACAACGUGCCAAAUUUAAAACAAAUUUAAAAAUCUUUAACAGAUUUAAUAAAAGAAUAUCGAUUUAAUUUACCAUGAUGAAUCACAUCACGAUCGUACUGUCAUGGUCUACCAAGUAACAAGUGGACGGCAUCCAUGGGAACGACAUCACACCAAACAUCAUCAAUGUAAGUCCCAAGUUUAAAAGUGAUCAAGUACUGUUUUACCACACGGACCUCCGAACCUUCGUUAAGCCAUUAAAGAUGGUAUGGUGUAGGGUGUUUGCUACAUGACAAUGCAAGAGAACCCAUAAAGAGUUUGCUACAUUACAAAAAUUGAAGUACCAAAUUAUGUCAAAAAUUAAGACAUAGAGAUUAAAUUUCUAAUUUGGGCAUAUUAUAAGGACUAAAAUUGAAAACUAACUAUUGUUAUAUAAUUUCAAAAAGAAAAAUUAAUAAUUUAGUCAAAAUGAAGUAUUUAAAUUGACGAUGACGUUAAAAAGUUGAUGUAUCACAUUAUGUCAAAAAUUAAAAUUAAAAUAUUAAAAUUUAAAUUUAAGAUGAAUAUAAAAAUCAAAACUAAAAGUUAAGAUAUAAUUUCGAAAAAGAAAUAAUAAGUUGUAUAUUUGGAUAUGUAUAUGUCAAAAAAUUCGAAAGAAAUAUUUAAUGAUAUUAUAAAAAUUAAGUACAAAAUUAUGUUAUAAAUUAGUAAGCUUGAAGUAGAUCUCUCAAAAUAUCUUACAUUGCUCACUUUUAUUUCCCUCAGUAAAUAAGGUUAGAUGCAUGAAUUGUUUGACCAUUAAUUUGUUUUUGUUUCCCUCAUUUCAAAUAUAUGAAAUUUUUUAUCACUCAAAUAACAGUAAGAGUAAACUACAUCGCAAGUCAUUUUAAAAUUGCAUCGUUUUUAUUUUGGUCAUUCUUAAUUUAGUAACUCUAAUUAAUGUAAUUGCUCAAAUUGGUCACUAAUGUUAAAAUUUUCGUUAAUCCACUAACAAGUUUUUGACAUAACGUUAAGAUUGACCGGCGUGCUAAAUUUAAAACAAAUUUAAAAAUCUUUAUCGAAUUUUAAUAAAAGAAUAUCGAUUUAAUUUACCAUGAUGAAUAACAUCACGAUCGUACUGUCAUGGUCUACCAAGUAACAAGUGGGCGGCAUGCAUAGGAACGACAUCACACCAAACAUCAUCAAUGUAAGUCCCAAGUUUAAAAGUGAUCAAGUACUGUUUUACCACACGGACCUCCGAACCUUCGUUAAGCCAUUGAAGGUGGUAUGGUGUAGGGUGUUUGCUACAUGACAAAGCAAGAGAAUCCACAAGGUAGCUACUCACAACGUUAGCACAACUUCCACUAUCAAUGAUAAAUGAGCAAAGUUUACCUUUAAUCAAACACCUCAAAUGGAAUAUAUUACUCCUUUGAAGAUCAUAAUCAUCCUUCAAUUGGAUGUUGAGGGUGCGCCUCACAACUAGACAACGGGGAUGAGUUAGUGGUUCCACCAACUCUUCUUCACCAUAAAAUUUACCUCCAUCACCAUUGAAAGUUGUUUUAUGAAAAAAAAACCCUAAACCAUAGAAGAGCAAGGGCAAAAUAGUUUUCUAUUGGUGUAGGAGGUGUGAACGAUAAAGGCUAUAUAGAAGUGAUUUUAAUAAUCUAGUGACUUAAAUAAAAAAUUUCAAAUAGUACUCUAGUAACCAUUUUAUAACUUUUUAAAGUUAAUUGAGAAAAACGUAACAUUGAAUGUAACUUACUCCAAUAAUUUAUUAUUUUUAUGAUGCUAUUUUUUAUACCAUACCUAAGUCACUCCUAAAGUAAAUGAUAUUAGGUGCUCAAUAAUGUUCAAACCCAUGCCCCCAAUUCUUUUUUGCUCGCUCAAUACCUAAAAAACAGCAGUACAAAGAAUAUAGAAAGAAAGUAAGAGAAAACUGACGAGUGUUAAAACACCUCAAUUUUAGCAAUUUUAGAAGAAUUCAUGCAUAAUUUAUACCAAAUUCAUAAACUCUCAAUCUUAUCAUUAAAAUAGUGCGUUGCUUCAUCUAUUUUAAAAAUUUUGACAAAGUCGAUGAAAUCAAUUACUCAUUUUCAUCUUUCAAAUUACUUCGUUGCAGCACCAUCCAUUUGAAAGUGACUGCUGCAGAUUAUCUUAACUCAAAGCUAAUACAAUAAAUGUAAGGGGAAGAUAAAAAGGCUAAAAGAAAAGUAAUAAAAAUAGGAGUUCUUACUUUCUUCACUAACAAUUCUGCCUUUGUGGAUCCUACCAGAGACUUCAUAAUUUCCCUGUUUUUAUCUUCACUUUCUUCUUACUUCUUCUUCACUGCUUUUAAUUUGUUUCCAUGUCCAAGGUCCAUCACAAAUUUUCAAGCAUCCUGUCAAGGUAAUUUUCUUUCAUUUCCUUAAUUCAUCACAUGCUUUUAUUUGCUUUUGAUUAUCUGCUACUGUUAUAGCAGCUAGCUUUGUAAGAUUGUCAAGGAACUCAACUUCACUGCUUCCUUUUCAGUUCUAAUCUCUCAACACUUUUCAGCCACUGAGUCAGGCAAUAAGAUCUGAAGCAAUGAUUUCCUCUACUGAUUAUCAACAGUUUUAGAUUUUAAGAGUGGAUGACCAGCUGACAUAAUCUACUAUAGAUAGAAAUUAAUACAAAAAGAGCUACCCAGAAGCAAUAUAAUGCUGAAAUCUCAAACUGUCAACAUUUUAACUCUUAAUAUUCUGUAAUGAACUCUUGCACACUUGAAUCUAGCAUUUUAUAUACAUCGAGAGCUUGAUUCUGGUAACCAGAAUUUCAUCAUGUUUCUGUCUGCCACCCAUCCAUAGCUCCAUCUAAGAAACGCCAUUGCUUGAAACUUGCAUUCAUGUUUCCUUUUCAUGCUUACACAGACAUAUCAAUACUUCAUCCAAUACAUUCACAGAUUUUCAUUCUCUACUGUUUAUAUAUGAUUGCAUUGCAGGGACAUAGCAAUGGAGUACGUAGAGCCUGUUGCUGGCAUUGCAAAUUGUCUCGGAACUCCUGUUUGUAAAUACUUGCAAUAUCACAGAAAGAUGAACGAUAAUGUGAGAAACUUCAAGAGGAUGAGAGAUGAAUUGAAUUGCAAAAUGGAAGAUAUAGAGCUGCAAUUGAAAGCAGAGCUUCUUCGUCCUCUGGGGAAGAUACCGAAGAAGGGAGUUGAAAAUUGGUUGAAAGAUGUGAAAGAGAUGAUUAAGGAAGCACAAGUUGUUGAAAACAAAGUCAGGAACGGGAGAUAUCUCUGUCGUGCUUGCAACAGCAAGCUGGUUGAAGAAAACACUCGAGAAAUGGAGGGAUUUCUUGAUAAAGCUCCUAAUGCCUCUGAAGGUCUUGCCAUGGAUGGUCCGAGUGCUGGGUUGCCGCUGCCAACAUCAGAACUAGUUGGAGAGGAAGCUGUCAGAAAUGAGAUUUGGGCAUGUUUGAUGCAGGAGGAGGUGAGCAAGAUUGGGGUUUGGGGGAUGGGCGGCGUGGGUAAAUCGACCAUCAUGAAGCACAUCCACAAUGAUCUUUUGAAAGAAAAACGAUUUGAAAGGGUGGUUUGGGUUACUAUAUCAAAGGAGUUCAAUAUUGUGAAGUUACAAAAUGAUAUUGCAAGUGCAUUGAAUGGACAGAUGCCCGAAGAAGCAAACAAGGUCAGACGAGCAGCAGUCUUGUCCGAAAUGCUGAAGAGAGCAGGAAAACAUGUUCUAAUCCUAGAUGAUGUGUGGAGUGAAGUCUCGUUGGAAGAAAUUGGGAUCCCUAAGCCAAGUAGCAGCAAUGGGUACAAGUUGGUGUUGACAACUCGUGUGGAGCAAGUUUGUAAGUCUAUGGGCUGUAAGGUGAUAAAAGUGAAGCCCCUUUCAGAAGAAGAGGCAUUGAUACUAUUCUUGAGUGAAGUUGGACCUAACAUAGUGCAAAAUCAAACUUUAAUGCCAACUUUUAAGCUGGUUGUCAAGGAAUGUGCAGGUCUGCCUCUUACAAUUGUCGUCAUAGCUGGUACAUUGAGAGGAGAAGAUGAACCUCUUAUUUGGAAAAACACACUCAGGGAAUUGAAAGAGAGAAUAGGGAAAGUGAAAGAAGGGGAAGAUAAAGUGAUCGAGAGUUUGAAAGUUAGCUUCAAUCACUUAAAAGACGAGAAAAUGAAGCAUUGUUUCUUACAUUGCGCAUUAUAUCCUGAAGAUUUUCAAAUUGGGAAGGAUGGGCUAAUUGAGUGCUGGAUUGAAGAGGGAUUCAUAGAUGAUAUAAGUACAAGACAAGAAAUGAAAGAUAAGGGCCAUGUUAUUUUGAAGAAAUUAGAAGAUAAUUGCUUGUUGGAAAAUGUCUCGAGUGAAAGAGUGAAAAUGCAUGAUGCAGUGAGAGACAUGGCAUUGUCGAUCACAAGAAUGAAUCCUCGAUAUAUGAUACAAGCAGGUUUUCAAUUAGAAGAGUUACCAGAAAAGGAGCAAUGGAGUCCGGAUAUUGAGAAAGUUUCACUUAUGUAUAACUCCAUAUCAGAAAUUUCCAUAGAUGUGCUGCCCACAAAAUGUCUACUGCUCACAACCUUGUUAUUGCAGGAGAACCCAAUAAAGAAGAUCUCAGUUUCUUUCUUCACAAACAUGCCUUGUCUUAGUGUUCUCAAUUUGUCCUCUACGAAGAUCAAAAGUUUACCAGAUUCCAUCUCUGAACUAAAGAACCUCACAACAUUGUUGCUUCGUGGCUGUCAAGAAUUAAGAUAUCUGCCAUGUCUUUCGAUGCUUCAAGAAUUGAAGAACUUGGAUCUAAGUUGGACUAGAAUUGAGGAAGUACCUGAAGGCAUGGAUAUGCUGAUAAAGCUAAGAUAUCUUGAGCUUGUAGCGCCCACUCUGAAAGAGAUACCCGCUGGACUUUUACCAAAACUCGUUCACCUUCAGCACUUGGGUUUUCAUGAGGGCAAUGAAAAAACAAGUCUAAAAGCAGAGGAGAUGGAACCAUUGAAGAAGUUGGAGUGCUUUACCGGAAGUUUCGAAGACAUCAAUGAAUUCAAUAAGUUCAUCUCCUCAAUGCAACAAAGUAAGAAAAAUCUCAUCAAGUACUCUUUACAAGUGGGCUUAGCUAAUUUCCUUCAUAGAAGAGAUAAAGGAGUAACAAUUGGAGGAGUCCAGAAUUGGGAAGGUGAGUUAAUUAUGCACCCAAUUGAAAUUCAAGAGUUGAAUAUUAUAAACUGUGACUAUUUGAGAAACUUAGUCGAUGACAAUUCUUCCUUCAAAAAUGCGAUUGACUUGAGGGUUUGUAGGAUUUGGUGGUGUGAAGGGAUAGAGUGUGUUGUUUCCCUGUCCUCUUUUGCCUCUUCUUCCGCGCAUCCAUUUCAGAGCCUCGAGAUGUUAGAUCUUAGAGAUCUGCCAAAGUUGAGUGCCCUUAUUAUGAAAGAUGCAGGAAUUGGUUCAGCAACAACAUCAACAUUGGCUCCGUCUGCCACCUUUUCCCUUCUCAAGGAAAUUACGAUAGUGGAGUGCUCAAGUAUGAAGACGUUGCUUCCACAUUGGUUGCUUCCAAACCUCCAAAACCUGGAAGAAAUAUCAGUGUCACACUGUGAUGAGGUAGUAGAAAUAUUGGGAGCAGCAACAUCAGAAGUUGAAGAAAAAGGGAGUGAUGCAUUAAUCAAAUUCCAUCUUCCCAAAUUGAGAAAGUUGUUAUUCCAGGAUUUACCAAAUUUGAAGAGCAUUUGCAACAAAAGUGGAGUGAUGGUUUUCGAUUCUCUCCAACUUAUCCAAGUUGUAUACUGUGAUAAACUGAAGAGAAUUCCUCCAUUUGUUCCCCUUGUUGGCAAUGGGCAGCCAUUUGCAUAUGCUCCACCUUCUCUCACCAUCGGGUCAGACACAGAAUGGUGGGAAUCGUUGGAGUGGGAUGACCAUCCAAACUUUAAAAAUGUUCUUCGCUUCGACUCCUUUUGCGGAUAAGAGAGAUAAAAGGGUUGGUGGAAAAGGAGGGGGGAGGAUAGUGCAAAAGAGAGGAGAAAAGGAAUGAUGGAAGGAAGAGGUUAAGAGGCAAAGGUAAAUAAGAAAUCAAACUGCCUCCACUUUUUAAACAUUUUCCCUCUCUUACUCCUCCUAUUCUCUUUUUCUUCUCUAAUAUAUAUAUAUAUAUACACAUAAAUAAGAGAUUUAAAUAUGUUUUAAAUCUUUAUAUUCUCUUAUAUUUUAAAUUUAAUCUCUAUUUAUUUUUAAGAAUUUAGUCUCUUUAUUUUUUGAAUUUAAAAAUUUAGGUCUAGUUAUUAAUAACAUUAAAAUUAUUUUGUUAAAUUUACUGGUGUGACAUGUUGAAAAUGUUUUUAAAAAAUUCUUAUUUGGUAGCUAUGUAACAAAAAAUAAUGACAAUCUAAUAACUUGAAUUUAAUAGAGAAUUUUAACAAUGUUGUCAAUUCUUAAAAAUUUACAUCAACAGUUUAAUUAGAAUACGAUGUUUAGACUAAUUAAUGACAUUAAAAAAAUUGAAGUAUCAAAUUAUGUCAAAAAUUAAGACAUAGAGAUUAAAUUUCCAAUUUGGGCAUAUUAUAAGGACUAAAAUUGAAAACUAACUAUUGUUAUAUAAUUUCAAAAAGAAAAAUCAAUAAUUUAGUCAAAAUGAAGUAUUUAAAUUGACAAUGACAUUAAAAAGUUGAAGUAUCGCCUUAUGUCAAAAAUUAAAAUUAAAAUAUUAAAAUUUAAAUUUAAGCUGAAUAUAAGAAUCAAAAUUAAAAUUUGACAUAUAAUUUCGAAAAAGAAAUAAUAAGUUGUGUGUUUAGAUAUGUAUAUGCCAAUAAAUCGGAACGAAAUAUUUAAUGAUAUUAUAAAAAUUAAAGUACAAAUUUAUGUUAUAAAUUAGUAAGCUUGAAGUAAAUCUCUUAAAAUAUCUUACUUUUUCCUUUUUGAAACAAAACAUAGUUUUCAAAUUUGUAAGCUUCAAGUAAAUAUCUUAAAAUGAUUUACUUCCCUCACUUAAAAGGUUAGAUGCAUGAAUUGUUUCACCAUUAAUUUUGUUUUGUUUCCCUCAUUUAAAAUAUAUUAAAUUCUUUAUCACUCAAAUAACAGUAAGAGUAAACUACAUCGCAAGUCACUUUAAAAUAGGGUCAUUCUUAUUUUUUUUGUCAAUUUAGUAACUCUAAUUAAGAUAAUUGCUCAAAUUGGUCACUAACGUUAAAAUUUUCGUUAAUCCACUUACAAACAAGUGAACAGGAUGUAGCGGAAGAAAAUGGAGAGAAAGACUACAGCAAAUCCAGUAAUACUGAGUGUAGUGAUAAGUGAUGACCAGUAAGGUAGAGAAAGGGAAAUAUGGUUGACUGUCAAUCUUAACCAAGAAGUAAGUUUCAGAAAGAAUCCUUUUAAGAGUUCAAAAUGUUGAAAAAUUCAAAAGUGCCAAAAAUCUUAUGUGGCAAAAGGCUCCUAUUUAUAGUUUUUCAAAAAUAGGAGUUACAAAGCUAGUAAUUAAUGAGGGUAUUAAUAGAUAUUUUUAAGAUACAAUUGCAUAUUAAUUAAGAAGUGAUAGUGAAAGGAUUUCCUGGUGAUGUGAUGGUGAAUAAUGAAGAAGAAUUCACUAUGUUUCUAAAAGGAGAGAAAAACACUUACAGCUUGUUUGGUUUGGUGUAUUGGCAUAGCCAAUACACCCCUAAUCGGUGGGCCCCACCUAAUCCGGGUGUAACACGUCGUUUGGUUUGAUGUAUUGGUAAUACGCACCUAAUCCAUUACCUUCUUAAUCGGUGAAAACCACCGAUUUCUAUUCCCCCCUCUUUGCCCAGAUUAGCUACCGAUUGAGCAUCACCUCCCUGAUUUGCCCUCCCCCCAUCCCCUUGUUUCUCUUCUGUUCCUUCAUCCGAUUUCCUUCCUUAUUUUUUUGCUUUUGUUUUCUGCCGAUUUCCUCCCAGUCCAUUACGCCUCUUUGCUGCCGAUUUGUUCCCUCCGUUUCCUUUCUUUUCUUUUUCGCUCUGCCACUCUUUUUGAUUGCCUUCUCAACCAGUCGACCUUCUUUACUGACCCUUGUUUCGAUUCCGAAUCCAAGUCCGACCACUCUUCUCCACCCGCGACGCGAGCCUUUCGAGCACGGCCUCCUACCAAUCCAGAAGCUCAUAUUCACUGACCCACUCCAGGCCCUAACCUCUCUGAAGCAAAAGCUCGUAUCUUCCUCCACUCAACGAGUCGACUCGGCGGCCCUCGCUGACGCCCUCGAGAUCUCUUUGGACCAUGCACGUCUCGUCCUAGACACUCUCGCCUCGGUGCUUCACUCCGAAUCUGACCUUCUCGUCACCUCGCGCUUCGACGAUGUUGAUUCCGUUGGUGCUGAUUUGCUUGAUCUGAUCCUGUUUUUGUACAUUCAAUCGUAUAAAAGGCAUGGGCGCAUGUUCAAAGUUUGAAAUCCUGUCUUGAUGAGCAUAAUUUGGAAUUGCGUGUUAAGACAGCUAAUGAAGCUGAAGCAAUAUCCCAGCAAAAGUUGGCUGCUGCAGAAGCUGAAAUUGCUGAGUUGCGACACAAAUUGGAGGCUUCUAAGAGGUUACAGUUUACUUGUUUCUUUUUCUUUAUAUUAGAUUACCUUUUGAUGUCACUGAUUCAGGUUUAUUAUUUUAAUAUUCCUUUUCUUUCUGGAAGCGGAUUUUGCCUAGAUCUCUACAAACCUGCUGCUAUUCGUAAAAUGUUUAUUUGAUGUGCCUAGAGAAUUCCACCACACAUUAUUCUGUUGAAAUUCUCAUUACCAGAAUGUAGAUGUAUUAGAAAUUGUGUAGCUGGUAUUUAUGUUGUCGCUACCUUCAUUUAUCAAACAAUGGGUUUACGAGAAGCAAGUGAAAAGUGUUAAUUAUGCUGUUAUUUCAGGGAUAAAUCUAGGCUUACUGAUUCUUUAAAAGCCAAAAUUGAAGAAAAUGAGGCUUACUUAUCUGAAAUAGAGGUUAGCUUCUUGUCAUUUAGUCUUGGCUUUGCCUUUGGUACUUUCAUGAUGUUUUCAUUACACCAUUAGUUUGGUUUUCCUCAGUCAAUUGGACAGGCAUAUGAUGAUAUGCAAACUCAAAACCAGUAGCUAUUGCAGCAAAUUACUGAAAGAGAUGACUAUAACAUCAAGGUAAUCAAUUAUUUGGUUUAUGAUAUUCAGAGAUCCAUUGAAAGUUUAUGCACUAGCAUCAUUGUACCCUUUUCUUUCUUUCUUUCUUUUUUUUUUCCUUUUUUGCUACUUACUGCCAUAAAACGAUGGUCUCUUGAUAAGUUUUCUGUAACUAUGUCUUUAUGCUGACUAGUUUUAAAUUGAUUUUGUAUAACUCUGCCUUUUUUAAACCCUCAAGCAUCCAGUUGUCACUAGCUACCACUGCCAGCCGUGUACUUAGAGGUGAACGGUGCUUCAUAUACUCAUAGAUGUUUGAUCAUGGAAUAGAAAUUUUUACUUGGUAACCAAUCACAGAAGCUAACAAUCAUCAUUUCCCUUGAGUUAAACAUGAGAUAGAACUUGGGAAGCUGGGUUCAGUUCUUGGUCUCCAUUUGGGUGUUAGUUGUCGGUGUGAAGAUUCAUAGGUAUUCUCUUUGGCUGGUCAUCUGAUAUGAUUGGUUGGACUUGUGAUAACUAAGUGCCCAUUUUCAUUAAUGUAAAAUUUUAUUGAGAUUUCAUUUAUUUUUGGCAGGCACUGAGAUUUUUGAAUAGCCUAACUCCUCCAAAUAUAUCAAGGAUGAGGGUUUUAUUGGCCCAAACAUUACUGAAAUUUGCAAAAAUAAAAAAUGAUGUUGAUCUUGUAAUUUUAAUUUAAAGACAGAUGAAUUUACUUAAUCAUGAAACUGGAAGAGCAAUUAAUGCCUUCGGUUUUAUUAUAACCUAUUCUUGUAAAGGACAUCAGGCAUCUAGGUUCGAUAUUCUAUUUCUUGAUAUUUACCUUCAUGUAGAGAACUUCUACUUGUAGAGCCUCCAUGAUCCUUUGUCACUAUUGUAUAUUUUCUCCUAGAACUUGAUUUUACUUUAAUGGUGUCCUUUUCAGCUUGUUUUGGAAGGUUUGAGGGCCAAACAGCUUCAGGACACUCUACUCUUGGAGAAGCAUAACAUGGAGAAAGAGAUUCAGCAAGCCAACACAUCCCUUGAUUUUUAUAAUAUGAAAGCUGCAAGAAUCGAGGAUCAGGUAUGAUCAUGAACUAGGUAUUUUAUAUGAAAUACACUAUUAAAGGCAUUCAAGUAUUGAGCAAUUCCUUUUUCAGCUGAGGUUUUGCUCAGACCAGGUUCAGAAACUUGGAGAAGAAAGAUUUCAAAAGUCAGUUUCAUUGGAAAAUACACAAAAGCGAUUGUCAGAUAUGAGAAGAUCCUCUCAUCAAGCAAAGGAGUCACUGGAGGACUCGCAAUUCAAGAUUGAGAGAAGUCGAGCGGCAUUACUGGAGUUGCAGAUUGAAAUAGAGAGAGAAAGGUAAUAGAAUUCAUUGGUCCUUUUAUGUUUCCCUGUUUUCUUAAUGCAUAGGGUGAAUUCAUGUAUGUUUUUCUGCAUGUCAUUCAUUUAUUAGGUUUAAAAAGAAAAGAAUUGAGGAAGAAUUGGAAGUAGCGAGAAGAAAGGUCGUACUUCUUCAAGCGAAGACAGAAGGGAACUCGAUGAUUGAAAGGCUUCAAGAAGAACUUAGAGAGUACAGAGAAAUACUAAAGUGCAGUAUCUGUCUUGACAGACCAAAAGAGGUAAGUUUGAUUAUGAUCUAGUAUUUCAAGGUAGCAGUUCUUCAACUAGGCUCUUCAGUGUUGUAGUUUGAGCUCUUGUUCUCAUUUCCUGACAAUUGGAUAGGAUGCUUCUGUGCCAUUUGACUACAUUAAGAAUGGUUUUGUACCUGUUACUUAGAGAAGAAAUACUUCAUAACAUGUAGCCUAUGUUGCUUUCCUCAUUUUCCUUGAAUUACCUUUGUCCGACAGCAGUAUCUGAAACAUAUUACGGUGUCGGUAUGAUUCUCCAAGUAUAUGGAAAAACUUAGAAAAAUUGGCCAUACUUGUGUUGGGCACAUGCCCCUAUCUGAUGCACACUCCCAAGUUCAAGUAACAUAGCAUACAGCUAUGGUUUGUUCGAUUCUGUUUUGGACACUGUUUUUUAUUUGGCCUGUUUUCUCCAUCUAUUUCCAAAUUUGCUUAUAGAUUAUUCCGUUCUUCAGGUUGUUAUUACAAAAUGCUACCAUCUCUUCUGCAACCCUUGUGUGCACAAAGUCACCGAAAAUCGUCACCGCAAGUGUCCGGUUUGUGCUGCAAGCUUUGGUGCCAAUGAUGUUAAACCUGUUUAUAUCUGAUUUAGGAGCUCUCAUCAGAACUGCAUUAGAGAGAUGCUGUUGGUUUAUGGAAUGCCAUAGGUUUUGUAAAACUUUGAGGAGUGUGGAAGUGUUAAAGUUAUUCAAAAUUAACAAGCUCACUAUAAAGCAGCAAAUUUAUAUUAGAUUCCCAUAAUAUACUUGCUGCAUAAAUGCCUUUGAUUUUCAUAAGUUCAUAUUUAAAGUUGGAAUUUAUAAAUGUUUCAAUGAGUAUAUGCUGCCACAGUUUAUAGGAUCUUAGAGAAAUGUAAUUUUCACUAACACAAAUUACUCUUCUUUGCGGCUUAAUUUGACUUUUAACACUAAGUAAGCUGCCACUAAAUUUAUUUCUUUUUACAAAAUAUUUAGAAAAAAAUAUUAAAUUAUAUUUAGAAAAAUUAUAUUUAAUAAUAAUUAUUUUAAAUUAUAUUUUAUAGUAUUAUAUAUUAUGAUUUUAGUAAAUUCAUAUAAGAAUAUUUAAUAUUAAGAAUUUUAUUAAAUCAUAUAUUUUAAUUAAAAUAUAUUUAAUAAUAAUUAUUUCAAAUUAUAUUUUAUAGUAUCAUAUAUUAUAAUUUUAGUAAAUUCAUAUAAGAAUAUUGAUUAUUAAGAAUUUUAUUAAAUCAUAUAUUUUAAUUAAAAUAUAUUUAAUAAUAAUUAUGUUAAUUUAUAUUUUACAGUAUCAUAUAUUAUGAUUUGAGUAAAUUAAUAUAAGAAUAUUAAUUAUUAAGAAUUUUAUUAAAUUAUAUAGUUUAAUUAAAAUAUAUUUAAUAAUAAUUAUGUUAAUUUAUAUUUUACAGUAUCAUAUAUUAUGAUUUCAGUAAAUUAAUAUAAGAAUAUUAAUUAUUAAGAAUUUUAUUAAAUUAUAUAUUUUAAUUAAAAUAUAUUUAAUAAUAAUUAUGUUAAUUUAUAUUUUACAGUAUCAUAUAUUAUGAUUUGAGUAAAUUCAUAUAAGAAUAUUGAUUAUUAAGAAUUUUAUUAUAAAUUAUAUAUUUUAAUUAAAAUAUAUUUAAUAAUAAUUAUGUUAAAAUAUGAUUAAAUUAUUUAUUACUGAUAAUAAUAAUCUUAUUAAAAUUUAAAUAACAAUAACAAUAAUCAUUUACCAAAACAAUUUUAUGCUAAGGGUAUUCUAGUCAUUUUAGUUUUUUCCAUUAUGCUAUUACACCUCUAUUCCAUUCAACCAAACACAAGAUUACUAUUACGCCUCUAUUCCAUUACAUUCAACCAAACAGUGUAUUAGCUAUUACACCUCUAAUCCCAAUACACCUCUAAUCCCAAUACACCUCUAAUCCAAUACACCUCUAAUCCAAUACAGCGAACCAAACGCACCCUUAGCAUUAAAAGAAAAGGUUAAGAGGAAGCCUUUUAACUACCUUCAUAUCUGAUGCACCAAGCCAAGCUCUCCAAAACAUUCCAAAAGUGAAGAUAACCCAAGAACUCUACCAUAUUCUGGGGUUACUUCCGUUUCUUCCACUUUGGUGAAGUACCAUGUGAAACAUUUUUCGUGGAAGAUCUCUCAAAAUAUGAGACGAUAUGGUUGUUUUUGGAUGAGAGUUGUUCCUAAAUAAUUAUUUUAACUUGUUCCAAACGUGAGUUGUUCUCAAUAUAAAGGUUAUUCCAAAUAAGAGUUGUUUUGUGGUGAUUUUUUCUUGGUAAAACUUGUUUUGAAUAACGACUCUUUUAGAAAAAAAUAAUUUUUCUAAAUACAAGUUGCUCCAAACAAUGGUUGUUCUAGACAUAGUCAUUCCUGAAACGCUAUUAUUCUAAACAAGAGUUAUUCUCAAAUAACAAUUAUAUUGGAUGACAACUGUUCUAACUAAAACCAUGUUUUCAAAUAUUUAUUCUGGACAAAGUUAUUCUUGAACAACAGUUGUUCUGAAUAAUUAUUCUAAACAAGAGUUGUUACUUCAGAAGAGAUAUGCUUGGUAGAAUAAUUUAUUGAAAUAUAAUAUUUUUUGAUUUCAAGAAAUAGAUAAAAUAUUAGUAGUCAAAAUUGAGUAUUUACAAAAAAUUGAAAACUGAAGUGUUAAAUUUGAUUUAUAAUUUUUUAUUUUACCAUUUUUAUCUUUCCUUUUAACAUUUCAUGUUAAUUUAAUUUACAUAAAUUCUAAACCACUUUGAAUAUAGAUAUAAAUAUUUGAAAUAAAUUAUAUUGAUGUUAGGAAAAAAAAUACUCACUAAAGAAUAAAAAUUAUUUAAAAAAAACUUAUAUUCAACGAAAAUAUAAUGAUAAUAAAGGCUCAUAUGUAACAAAAAGCCUUUAAGAAAAUGCGAAAAAUUAAUUAUGCUUUUAUAUUAAAUUUAUAUCCAAUUGGGCCUUUGCCGUUAAAUAAAAUUAAUUAAGCCCUCCAUUCAUAAAAUCUUUGGUCAACCGUUAAGAUAAAUUAAUGAAACAAUCAAAAUAAAGACACGUGGUAACUUUUAAUUUAAUCUAAUAUUUUUUCAUACAAAUGUUAAAAAUCAUAAAAACUAGAAUAAAGAGAAAAUAGAAAACAGAAUUAAGUGAUAUAUAAUGCUUAUAAAUUUCAAUUACUUUUCCUUUUUUUCCUUUCUAAUUUUUGGUACAAAACAAAAGUGCAAUUUACCGAUAAUGUUUUAUUAUUAUUUUUGGCAAUUCCAUAAAUGUCUUUUUUCUUAUGAAAAAUAAUUUUGCCUGCUUCUUGGCUUAAAGUUUGGUGUAAAUUUGAUAAAACUAAAGGUGAUUUUGGAUGGACGGUGAUUGUGGUGUAAUGAAAAUUUUUAUUUCACAGUUAUAGUAACUAAUUUCAUUGCCAACACUAUUUUUAAUUUAACCUUAUCGGAGGUAAUCACAUCCCCAAAGACACCCUAAAUCUGUUUAUAACAAUAAUUAUUAUACUAAUAAUAAAAAAAAUGGUAAAAGUACGACAAAACCUUUUAUCUUAUAUAUCGGAUUGCAUUUUAAUUUUUUAUUAAAAAAUUAGCCCAUAUAAAUUAGAUGACUGAGCAAAAUAGUCCUUCCAUUUUAUUGUUUAUAUAUAAGGUAUAAUAAUAAAUUUAGCCCUCAACCUUUACAUAUUUAUUCAAUUUGACCCUUACCUUUUUUAUUGGAAGUAAAUCAGAAAAUUUUGAAACUAAUAAGACUAAAGGGUCAAAAAGGCCUUAGUUAUAAAAUUAAAAAAAAAAACCAAUCAAACCCAUUUAAAUUUUAAAAGUUAUUAAAAAUCUUAAAAAUUAUAAAUAAAAUUUAAGAAAAUUUAAAAAUAUAUAUUUUUUAUUAAAAAAAAGCAACACCUACCCAUUAAAAUAUUGGUUUGAAGAUAUUUUAAAAACAAUUGGCCCUACUCUUUUAUUGAGUCAGCAUUGUUAUUUUUUAAUAAUUUUUUAUAAUUUUUAAAAAUCUUAAAAAUUUUAGCUUAAUUAAUUUUUUUUUUAAAUUUGUUACAAAGACCUUCUUGACCCAUUAGCUUCAUUAGUUUAAUUUUUUUUUAAUUUACUUUCAAUAAAAAAGUAUAGGUCAAAUUAAAUAAAUAUGUAAAAUUUAGAACUAAAUUUGUUAUUAUACCUUAUAUAUAAACACCAAAAUGGAAGGACUGUUUUGCUCACUCAUUUAACGUAUAAGGGCUAAUUUGCCAUUUUUUUAAAUAGAGAAGACAAAACCAAAUUUAACUCCUAAAUUCCCUUUUUCGAUGACUUUUUCAAGUCUUCCAUACAAAAUUAGACAGAAUAAUUAAGAAUAGAGGCUAUACCAAGUUGAUAAGGUCAUUCUAUUUUGCUUUUCCUCUUCUUCAGAAAGCUCCCAGAAAAACAGAAACUGAAGAAGAUAUAGCAGCCGUUCCCUUUUUUUUUUUUUGAAAGUCGAUAUGUCAAACACGAAUAUUUCAGAGACGAUUCCGUUUUUACCGGAGAUCGAUGAUAACAAGGACGAAGAUGGGAGGUGGUGGAAGAAUGUUUUGGAUUUGGAAGAGGCGAAGAAACAAGUGUUGUUUUCACUUCCAAUGAUUGUGACGAAUGUUGUGUAUUAUUCCAUAACUUUGGUGUCUGUCAUGUUUGCCGGUCACCUUGGGGAGCUUCAGCUUGCUGGUGCCACGCUUGCUAAUUCUUGGGCCACCGUCACUGGCUUUGCUUUCAUGGUUAGUUUUCACUAUUUUCUCAUUAUUCUUUAGGAUAACUUACCUAGCCCCUUAACUAUGGUUUUUUACUUUUUUUAGUCAUCUAAUUAUGAAAAGUUACAAAAUAAUCACCCAAUUAUUAGUAUUUUUUUUGUUACCAAAUUAUAAUAAGUUACAAAAAUGAUCAUUUAACAAUUCAAUUUUGUCUUUUUUGGUCACACAACUAUAUUAGAUUUUGGGGUGUUUCCAUUUUUACGUUAGUCAGUUGGUGACCAAAAAAGAGAAAAACAUCAUAGUUGGGUUACAUUUAUAGUAGUUUACCCUUUUUUUUAAUAUAUCAUGUUUAUUUUACAAUCCAUAUUUGGAGUUUGUGACUCUCUUUUCUAAUAAUAUUGUCUCCGAGAUCUGAACUCGUAUUCUCUCAUUAAGAGUGCAAUCUAUAUUAGCAUUACACAUACUCUUAUUGAUUAUUUUAUCAUAAAGUUAAUAUACUAUUUGGUACCUAUAUUUGGCUUGAAUGUUUUAUUUGGUACUUCAACCUUUUUUAUCCCAAUUUGGUACCUGAGUUUGGCUUCAAUGUUCAAUUUAGUGCCUAAGAUUUUUCAAAUUGAUACUUGAGUUUUUCUUUGUCCCAUGCAAAUACUUAAGUUUGACUUCAAUAUUCAAUUUAGUACUUGAGUUUUUCUUUUGCCCCGAUUAAGUAUCUAUGUUUUUUUUUACUAAAACACACUUGUCAAAUAUUUAUUGGACAAAUUAAACAUUAAAAUCAAACUUAAAUACUAAAUUGAGACAAAAGUACCUCACAUGCCAAAUGGACCUUUGAAAUUAAAUAUAGGUACCAAAUAGUAUAUUAACCCUUUUAUCAUAACUUCAACAUUUUGUUUUUGUGGAUUUACUUGUUUGUUAGACAGGAUUAAGUGGAGCACUGGAAACACUUUGUGGUCAAGGAUUUGGUGCCAAAAUUUACAGAAUAUUGGGAAUUUACCUCCAAUCCUCAUGCAUAAUUUCCUGUUCUUUCGCCAUUCUAAUAUCAAUCUUAUGGUUCUUCACCGAGCCCAUAUUGAUCUUCCUUCAACAAGACGCCGAAAUCUCCAAAACGGCGGCGCUUUACAUCAAAUAUCUCAUCCCAGGCUUAUUUGCUUACGGAUUGGUACAAAACAUACUGAGAUUCCUUCAGUCGCAAAGUAUUUUAAUGCCUCUGGUGUGGUUUUCGGUUCUGCCAUUGGCACUUCAUUUGGGCAUCGUUUACGCAUUGGUUAAUUGGACGGAUCUGGGUUUCAAAGGAGCUCCAUUGGCAGCUUCGAUUUCGCUGUGGAUUUCACUUGUUUUCUUAUCGUCUUAUGUGGUUUUGGCCCAGAGAUUUGAGGAAACAUGGCCGGGAUUGUCGUCGGAAUCGUUUCGUUUGGUCUUCGCGAACCUGAAACUCGCCAUCCCUUCUGCGGCAAUGGUUUGGUGAGUUCAUUUUUUCCAAAUUAAAUUAUACAAUUUUGAAGAGUCAAACAAAAUUUGUCAUUGUAUUAUUUUAUAAUUUUUCAUUUUUUAAAGGACUAAACUUCUAAAAUUAUUAUUUUUGGCCUAAAGACAUAAGUCUAAUUAUUUUGAGUUGGGUUAAAUCUCAAAAUUAUACAUGAAUUUUGAUUUAACGUGCAAUUGUAUACAUGAACUUUAAUUUAGUAUAAUUAUAUGCGUGAAACUUUAAUUGUGUUUCAAAUAUAUACUUGAAAUUUUAAUUUUGAUUUAAUCAUACACAUUUAAAGAAAUAAACUUAUUUAUUUAUUUUUAUAUUGGAUAAAUAUAAUUAUUUAUGCAUAUGAUAUAUAAACAUAAAAUAAUGUUAUAUUAAUAAUCGUGUUAAUAAGUUACAAGAAUUGGAUCAAAUCAAAAUUUUAUGUAUACAAUUGCACAUUAAACCAUAGUUCAUGUAUAAUUUUGGUACAUAUCCUUUUUGAGUUUGAGUCAAAAGUAAGCAUUUGAUUAUUUUAAUCAGUUAGAUUUUUUUUCCCUAAUUUAACUGACUUAAUCGGUCUUAAUAUAAAAUAACCGAACCGAUCGACUAAGAUAUUGUUAACCGAUUUCAUUACUAAGAUGUCAUUAAUUGGGUUUGGGUCGGUUUUCGGGUUGGGUUAGGUUAGAUAAUUGGAUUUUAAGUUUGGGUAAUUUAAAUUAUAUCACAUAUUACAAAUAUAUUUAAAAUAAUUUAAAAAUAAUAAAUAAAUAAAUAAAAGUCAGUUAAGUUGAUCAAUUCGAUUAUAAAUUUUAGUCAUCAGUACUCCACUGUCCAAAUCGACAAAACUAAAUUAAUUAAAAUGAAUCAAAUCGUCAAUUAAGUCGAUUAAAUCAGUCAUAACUGAAUAAUACUCUUUCCUAAUUUGAGUUAUUCGGAUUUUGUGGUCAAAUUUUAAGUCGGAAAAAUUAGAAUUAAGUUCUUUUGAAUUCAAAUUAGUCUAAAUUAGAGUUAUUUUCAUUUUGGAUUUGAAUUUAACUAUUUAAAAUAAUGAUGUCAACUAAAUUAAAAUUUAGAUAAUUUUUUAAAAUUAUUUUGAGCAGUUUGGAAUAUUGGGCGUUCGAGCUUCUGGUACUAUUAGCAGGAUUGAUGCCUAAUUCAGAAGUAACUACUUCCUUGAUUGCCAUGUGGUAUGCUUGCCUUUUAAGGGUGAAUCCAGAAAAUCUUUUUGAGGGGGCCGAAAUGAAAUUUUAAUUUUUAAUAAUUUAUAUUUUUAUAAUUUUUAAAUGAUUAAAUUAAUUUUUUUAAUUUUAAGGGGUUAAAGUGUAAUUUUAUCUUUAUUAAUUUAAAACUUUUUAUUUUAAGGAGCCUGGCCAUACAAGCCCCUGGAUUCGCCUCUGCUUCCAUUUUUAUACUUUUCACUGGAUCUAUUUAAAGAUUUCAAGAUUAAUGGGAUUUGAGUAAAAUAUUUUGCUUCAGUGUGAAUACAGAAUCAAUUGCGUACAUGAUUACUUACGGGCUUAGUGCUGCAGCAAGGUGAGUUCAAUUUUAUUAUUAUCUUAAUUAAUUUACGGAUUUUAAGCUAAUUUAAUUGAAAUAGCACGAGGGUUUCGAAUGAAUUGGGGGCUGAGAAUCCGAGGAAGGCAAAGACCGCCAUGGCUGUGUCACUCAAGCUUUCAAUCCUUCUCGCUCUAACAGUGGUUGUUGCAUUAGCAUUUGGGCAUAACAUAUGGGCUGCUUUCUUCACCAACACUGCUUCCAUUAUUAACCAAUUUGCUUCAAUCACACCCUUCCUUUUAAUCUCCAUUACCAUCGAUUCUUUUCAAGGCAUCUUAUCAGGUAAUUUCAAAAACAAAAAACAAACAAUUUAGUGAAGAAAUGGAAGGAUUAAAAUGAAAUGAAUAAAAUGUUGCAGGGGUGGCCAGAGGAAGCGGGUGGCAGGUGUUGGCUGUGUGGGCCAACUUGGGGACCUUUUAUUUAAUUGGAAUGCCAGUUGCAGGGCUUCUUGCUUUUAAGUUUAAGCUUUAUGCUAAGGUGAGUGUCUCAGCUAGAUAUCAGUUUACCUGCUCUAUUUAAUUUAUUCCAUUUAAUUAAAUAAAUUAUUUAAAAAUAUAAUUUUUUUUCGUAAGUCGUCUGGUUAAAUAAUUUUGUUCUCAAUCUUUCCUUAAUUAUUCACAUUUUAAUGGAAUUUAACCUUUUUUUAUAUAUUUUUUUCUUUCAUCAGGGUUUGUGGGUAGGGUUGAUAUGUGGUCUUUCAUGCCAAGCUACUGCCCUCCUGCUUAUUACUUUGUGUAGAAAAUGGGCUAAAAUUGAGCUUUCCUAACAAAUUAAUAUUCAACCAUAGUUAAAUCUUAACUAAUCUUCAUACUUUAUGGGUAUUCAUUUGUCGAGACUUAUUUAAAAUAGUGAAUUUGAAAUUUAAAUGAUUUGAGUUUGUUGAUACAUGAAAUAAAGGAGGGAAAGGGUUUUCUAGUGAAGAAGCAAGGAAGAAGAUCAUAGAAUGGAAUGUCUAAAGUGUCGUCCCUUAAAGAGGAUUUUUAAAAAUAUAUAUAAGAGAAGUUUUUCGAGUCAGAGUCUGGAUGGAGUUAUGAUAUAUUUUACUAUAAUUAUAUAACAAUGUUCAAAUUUUGUCAUGUUUUUUGUUCUAAUAUUGGAGAUCGAUCCUUUUAAUAACAAAGUGACUAGAAAUAAUAAUCGGAUAUUUACAAAAUUUUUAAAUAAAUUCUCUUGAUUUACCUAAAUAAGUUUUCUUAUGUGUUUAUUACCUACAUAUUAUUAUUUCAAUGAUUAAAAUAGCAAUUCUCUUUGAAUAUUAUUUUCACCUACAAAAUUACUUCCACAAUGACUGUCGGUGUAACAGCCUAAUUUUCAGUGGUGUCGGAAACAGUGAUUCGAGAUCACUAAAUUCAACCAAUGAGUUUUAAAAUUUAAUAAAUAAAUACAUAUGAGUCAAGUGUGAUUAUAGAAGAAUUUUGGAUUAGUGAAUUUUGUGAUUUAAAAAGAAAUUAAUAAGUAAAUUCGGUCUAAAACGAGGUAUCGAAACCUCGAACUGAUAAAUCGAGCCAUAAAUAUUUUUAGAAAUAUUUAUAGAGUGUCAUUGAGUUGGUAUUAAAGUUUCGUUAGAAAAUUCUAACAUUUGGAUGGUCAAUUAAUUAAAAGUACUAAAUUGAAAACAGUGCAAAAUAUGUUAAAUUAUGAUUAAAUAGCUUAAGUGACUAAUAAGGAGGGAUUUAAAAGGCAAUUAGGCCCAAAUUAUAUGGGCUGGACGGUUUGGGCAAGAAAAUCAGCAAGAAAACAAGGAGAAACAAGGGCAAAAUUAGAAAUUUAGCAAAUUAAACAUAUAAGACAAAGACAAAAUUGAAAAAUCUAGAGAUUUAUUCAUAAUUCAUCAGAAAAUACGCCAUACGAGGUCUGAAACAAGCUGGUUUCUCAUAUUUUUAUACCAUGUGAGUUCAAUUCUUUCUUUUCCUUCGAAAUUUUUAUGUUUUGUGACUUUUACAACUAGGUCCAACUAUUGAAUUCAUUAGUUUUUGAUUCCAUGGGUGAUUUUGUAAGUUACCAUGAAGAAUUUAUAGAAUUUUAUGAUGAAUUAUAAAUUAUUUGAAGCUUUAAUUUCAUUAUAUUAUGAUUUUAUUAAGUGAUUUUAGUAGAAAAUGAUUUUUAGGACCUAAUUGUGAAAAAGCUAGGAAUUAGGGUUUUGUACUGAAAUUAUGAAUAUAAAAGGCUGUAUAAUAGCCUAAAAUGAUUAGAUAAAGUGUUAUUUGAGGUAAAAUUUGUUCAAUUGAAGUGUUAAUUGAGUAGGGACUAAAUUGUAAAAAUUGUAAAUUUUGGGGUAAAAGUGUAAUUUCAAAAAUUGAAGGGCAUAAAUUUUGAAGUGAAUUAGUAUUGAAAUAGAUGCUAAUUAAUGGAAAAUUUCAUAUUAUAAAUCGGGAAUCUUAAGAUAAACAAGGAAAAGAAAAAGUCACUGAUUAGUCCCUGAAAUAUUACAACUCCUACAAAUAAGCCCAGGUAAGUUCAUACGGCUGAAAUUUUAUGAUUAAUUGUUAAUGUGGGAAUGAUUUAAUGUAUUAACUCAUUUAUUUUUGUUGAAUUAUGAUUAUUGUAAAAAUGUGAAAAUCAAACUGACUAAAUGCUAAAGUUACAUAUUUUAUGUAAUUAAAUUGGUUAAUUUAUGAGAGUGCACAUGAGAGUGCACCACUAAUUUUUCCAUGUUUACAUUGAAUUUUGUGCAGGGAUGCAAUUUGAGGCUAAAUAGAAGAAAAAGAAAACAAUUGGGCUAUAUUGAAGAAAGAAACAAAGGAGGGCCAAAGCAAAAUUUUUCCAAGAUUAAUUAGCUGAAAUUUUUGUUGACUUAGUGGAAGAUUAUUUUGGGAUUUUUUUUUUAAUAUCAUGGAAUAUUUUUCCUUGAUUUUCUAUGAUAGUGGCUCUUAAUUUAGCAAGGCUACUAGUAUAAAUAGAUGCUAUAUUGUUCAUUUUAUUCAUUAAUUCAUAAAUCAAGCUUUCAUCUUUCAAUACAUUCUCUCUUUUCUACUCAAGAAUUUAUUUGUUGUUUUUAGUUUCCUUUACUUUCAAUCCAUUAAUUUCCAGCUUGUUACCACUUAAACCAUUACAAUUUCUUUUUCAAACUUUCUUCCAUUUCUAGUAGCUAACCCACUUUAAUACACCACCAAAAUUUUAGCCCCUCAUACUUAAUCACGCCACCCAUCCUUUUCACCCAUUUCACCUUAUUUAAUUUAUGCCCAAUGCCGAAAUGCCCCAAACCUUAGUUAACUAAAUCCAUUUUCAGCUUUAGGUCGAUGCAUGUAUCUGCAAAAGGAAAAAUUUUCUCCAAAAUAGGACUUGACCCUCAUGGUUUGCACAAUUCAACAAUUUAAUCCUAGCACAUUAACAUCUCAAGUAACCUAGCCUAAGAAGUAAGUAAAUAUAUUUAAGAAUUUAUUAGAGCUUGAUAGACUUACCUUUCAUUUUAUUAUUUUUGUACUUAGGACAUUUUCGAAUUUUUUGACGCAAGACAUGAUGACAAUCCAAGCUCCAUGUUCCGGUUACUCAAUUCGGACAUCUCUAAGCGUGUUAUUUCACCCUACUCAUGAUAACUUGUUAGCGGAGUGAGUGCAAAGAAAUUGGACAGCCACACGAACCUUUUUACGCGAGAUGUGAUGACAACCCAAGCACCACGUUCCGGUUACUCAGCCCGAUGUAAGUUCAAAUUAAGGGAUCCGCAGGAUUGAGUACAUACGUUUAAUAUCCAUUGACGAAUUAACGAAUAAGUCCAUGGUGGAUCCAUGGCAAAGUGUGGAACGUAGAUAUGGUAAUUUUGUAAAGAAAACCAUACUAAGUUGUGAAAUGUAGGUAUGGUAUUUCAGUAAUGAAAAUCAUACUAAGUUGUGAAAAGUAGGUUGGUAUUUCAGUGAAGAAAACCAUAUUGAGUUAUAGCAUUGUAAAGGAUUCAAACAAAUCGUGGCACCAAGCAAAUGGUGUACUCAAAUCCAUAAGAUGAUCCUUAAUUUAACAAGUAUUUGUAAGUGCAAUUGGAGCUAAAUGUUGGAAUAUAAGUUGAUAUUUGCUAUUGAGCUCAAUUGAGUAAAUUCAUUGUUUGAGAUUGUGGUUGGCAGGAAAUAUUGCAUACUUGUUUAUUAAAAAUGUUAGUGAAAUUUUGGUAAGAUUCUAUUAUGAGCCUAUGAACUUACUAAGCUUUCUGUAAGCUUACUUGUAUGUGUUUAUUAUUUCUUGUAGAUUGACGUAUAUAUAUGUUCGGGGGAUCGGAUCUACAUUAAGGAUCACACAAACCAGAUUUACUCCGGUAGAUUUUUUUAAACAACUUUUUGAUUUAUAUGGCAUGUAUAGGAAUUGAAGUAAUAAAGUAAUACUAUGAAUGAUUAAGCAUGCAAAGUAAAUCUGAAUGUGAUGGUUGAGGUAGAUAUUGAAAUAUACAUGUUUUAGCUUGAAAUGAUUGACUGUGUUUAAGUCCGGUAAUGUCUCAUACCCUAUUCCGGAGUCGAACACGGGGAAGGGGUGUUACAGUAAGUCAAGUUAAUUUGACUCGGAUCAAUUUAAAAUGCGAAUGUCUUAUAAAUAUUGUGUAAGGUUUAAUGGUGUAAAAAGUUUUUAAACUGUUUCAAAAAAAAGUAAUUAAGUCUAUGUUUUUUUUUUUUGCAUUCAAUUGGGUACUUAAUUUUCAAAAUGCAUCAAAAAGGACUUCAAAUUUUUUCAAAAAAAAACAAUUAAGCUUCUACUUUUUUUUUGGCACUUAAUUAGGUACUUGAGCUGCAAAAUGCAUGAAAAAGGCCGUCGAACUUUUUCAAAAAAACCAAUUAAGCUCCAACUUUUUUUCUCACUCAAUUGGGUACUUGAACUACCAGAAUCAUAAAAAAGACCCUCAAACUUAAAAAAAGAAGUAGUUAACCUCUUUUUUUUUUGGCACUCGAUUGAGUACUUUAACUGCUAAAAUGCAUAAAAAGACCAUUUGAUCGUUAGCUUUAAUGUUUACCGUUAAAAUUAAUAGCUCUUAAUUUUUUUUCAGUUAAAGCCACCACGCGUCACAACCAUUGUGUGACAUGUGGUAAAAAAAUUAUAAAAAAUAAAAAUGAAUAAAAUUUAUAAAAAUGAAUAAAUUUUAAUAAAAAUAUUUAAAAUUUAUUAAAAAUAGAAUAAAACUAUAAAAAUUGUAAAAUAUAUAGAACUAUAAAAAUAUAUAAAAAUGUAAAAAAUAUAUAUAAAAUUAUUCCCAAAAAAAUUAUAAAAUUUUAUAAAGUAGUAAGAAAAUUAUAAAAAAUGUAAAGAAAUAUAAAAUUUGUAAAAAAAUUAUAAAAAUUAUCUUACCAAAAGAAGUAUUUUAUAAUUUUCUAUAACUCUUAUUAAUUUUUAUUUUUUAUCAUUUUUUGUAGCAUAUCACGUUGUAUUGUUACAAAUGAUGGCUUUAACUUAAAAAAAAAAACAGAAAUCUAAUGUUUAAAGUUAAUGUUUAAAUGUUCUUUUUGAUACGUUUUAUAUUUUUUUAUGAUUUUUAUAAAAGUUUACAAUCUUUAUAAUUUUUUUACAAUUUUAUAUUUUUUUUUUCUCACACGUCACGUUGUGGUCGUGGCACGGGGUGACUUGAAAUGAAAAAAAUUAAGAGUUUGCGAUCAAAGAAAAUUUUUUGGAUGUAUUUUGACAGUUUAAGUACCCAAUUAAGUAAAAAAAAAGCAGGGCUUAAUUAUGUUUUAGAAAAUAUUAAUGCAGAUUAUAAAUAUAAAUUCAACUUAAAAAGAAAGUUUUGGGACUGAAAAACUUUUCUAGCACCCCGGAAUUCAAUACCUUCACAGCUUCCUCAGAUUUAAUACAAGAAGGCGUCUUGUAUUGGUUGAUAGAAGCCCCCUUUGAUACAUAAAAGUCCAUAAGCGCAUCAAAUGUUCCAUGCUUUACCACUCUUACCUCUAAUUCUGCAAUUUUAUUGGCCUCUCUAAGGGACUUAUAUGUGAAAUCCAAUGAUUCUUCUACUAUGGAGCAGCAUUGUUCCAUUAUCUUGGCAUCAAGUUUUAGGCAUCUAUUCCUUUCUUUGAACUUGAGUUCCCAAAACAAUACAUACCGGCCUGGUAUCGAUGAAGUCUCCGCAUAGCUACUGAAUGUCAUCAGUACGAAACCAAGUGGUUCAAGAUGGCGUUUUGCGUUCCCGAUGGCCUUCAAGAGGUCUUCCUCGCUUGUUUUGUCCAUAUCAAUACUCAAAAUAGUAUUCCGUCGUUCGACAAACUGGAACUGCAGAGAGUUGUUAUGGAAACCGGUUAACUUGAGAACGUCCCCAACUCGGUAUCGAUACAGGCCUGGAAAGACAAUUAAAACACUUUAUUAACCAAAACAAAUCUAAUAUUUCAAAUCUAAAACAGGAAAUGGGAAAUAUUACCCGCGAAAGUUGUGACGACAACCUCAUAAUAUUGACCGAGUUUCACAUUUGCAGAAUCAACAGGUUCAACAUUUCCAUUUGCAUUUGUCAUUUCCGACGACCAUUGGCUUGAAACACCAUCAAGAUUGGAUUCUCGAGCCUUCUCUUCCCCAUCUUUAUCCACAGGGAGAAACUCAAAGUAUGCCAUGUUUGGGAGAAAGGUGUAAGCGACAUCGUAGGGGUUGCUUAGAGGAUUUAAAUUGAUCCCGAAAGUAGACUCCGAAGAACCAUAACUUGGUGAAACUAAAGGGAUCCCACCACCAUAAAAAUCAAGCAAUGAAAUGUAUUGGCUCAUGGUACCAGUAAUG